rnacentral:lncRNA from 1 species
GUAUUAUUUCCCAAGAAAGCCAUGCGAACGUUCCUUUGGUGAGUACUCAAGUGGUGCAUUUUCAAAGUAAUAUCUUUGAAUCACUUGAUAUAGGUAAACUUCUUCCAUUUCUCUUAUCAUUUGAUUAUGUGAUUUUUGCUAUCAAGCCACUUUUUAAUGAUCUACCAUGUCCUCUAAUGGUGGAUUAUUCAUUGACAAAACUUUUUAAGAAAUGAGGUUAUAUAGUCGAGCCAACGACUAUAAACAAAAACGCUUGUUGGAAGUCAACCCAAUGUUUUUGUAAUUUAUAUUAAUUUAGUUUGAUUUUAUGUUUAAAUUAUGUGUUUAAGUUGUUUCGUUAUUUUCAUUUGUAGGAUUGGGAAAUAGAAACAAAGGUGGCCAAAUGAGGUGAAAGAGAUGAAAUUUGAUCAAUGAUCUCAACACCUCAAAUUAAGUAAUUGUAGUUUUUGAUGUGUUAAAGAGGGUUAGAAUGCACAUUUAGAUCAUUUUAC